UGGGGAAUAUUGCACAAUGGGGGAAACCCUGAUGCAGCGACGCCGCGUGAGCGAAGAAGGCUUUCGAGUCGUAAAGCUCUGUCCUAUGAGAAGAUAAUGACGGUAUCAUAGGAGGAAGCCCUGGCUAAAUACGUGCCAGCAGCCGCGGUAAUACGUAUGGGGCGAGCGUUGUCCGGAAUUAUUGGGCGUAAAGGGUUCGCAGGCGGCAUGGCAAGUCCGAUGUAAAAGGCGAAGGCUCAACCUUCGUAAGCAUCGGAAACUGUCAAGCUUGAGUGAAGGAGAGGCAAGUGGAAUUCCUAGUGUAGCGGUGGAAUGCGUAGAUAUUAGGAGGAAUACCGGUGGCGAAGGCGACUUGCUGGACUUCAACUGACGCUGAGGAACGAAAGCGUGGGUAGCAAACAGG
rnacentral:rRNA from 1 species